GUGUUCACUUGAACAGCACAUAAAUUAAAAUUGGAUUGAUACAGAGAUUAGCAUGGCCCCUGUGCAAGGAUAACGGGCAAAUUCACGAAGUGAUCCAUAUAUAU